rnacentral:lncRNA from 1 species
AGUUCUACAACAGCUCUGGCAGCUAGGCUUGCAUGUUCUGCAAACACAGCCGCUGCUUGAGCAGCCAAGGUAGCAUCCUUAAAUUUCAUGUUCAAAUUCUACCUUCCAACAAAACAAUUACCAUUAACAUCUCCAGGAAAUGAUUGCCAAUGUUCCAACCUUUCAUCCUUGAAACGUAAGUGGGAUGAACCACCAUCAUCAACACAAUAUUGCCUUGAAAGUUCUACAACAGCUCUGGCAGCUAGGCUUGCAUGUUCUUCAAAUUCAGCCGCUGCUUGAGCACCAGAGGUAACAUCCUUAAAAUUCAUGUUCCAAUUCUGCCUGGCAACAAAAAUAUUACCAUUACCAUCUCAAAGAAAUGAUUGCCCAUGUUCCAACCUUUCAUCCUUGAAACCUAAUUUGCAUGAACCACCAUCAUCAACACAAUAUUGCCUUGAAAGUUCUACAACAGCUCUGGCAGCUAGGCUUGCAUAUUCUGCAAACUUAGCCGUUGCUUGA